rnacentral:rRNA from 1 species
CGCGUAGGCGGUUUGAUUAGUUAGGCGUGAAAUUCCUGGGCUCAACCUGGGGGCUGCGCUUAAUACAGUCAGACCAGAGUGUGAGAGAGGGUUGUGGAAUUUCCAGUGUAGAGGUGAAAUUCGUAGAUAUUGGAAAGAACACCGGUGGCGAAGGCGGCAACCUGGCUCAUUACUGACGCUGAGGCGCGAAAGCGUGGGGAGCAAACA